rnacentral:rRNA from 2 species
CCUACGGGAGGCAGCAGUGGGGAAUAUUGCACAAUGGGCGCAAGCCUGAUGCAGCGACGCCGCGUGAGGGAUGGAGGCCUUCGGGUUGUAAACCUCUUUUAUCGGGGAGCAAGCGAGAGUGAGUUUACCCGUUGAAUAAGCACCGGCUAACUACGUGCCAGCAGCCGCGGUAAUACGUAGGGUGCAAGCGUUAUCCGGAAUUAUUGGGCGUAAAGGGCUCGUAGGCGGUUCGUCGCGUCCGGUGUGAAAGUCCAUCGCUUAACGGUGGAUCCGCGCCGGGUACGGGCGGGCUUGAGUGCGGUAGGGGAGACUGGAAUUCCCGGUGUAACGGUGGAAUGUGUAGAUAUCGGGAAGAACACCAAUGGCGAAGGCAGGUCUCUGGGCCGUUACUGACGCUGAGGAGCGAAAGCGUGGGGAGCGAACAGGAUUAGAUACCCUGGUAGUCCACGCCGUAAACGGUGGAUGCUGGAUGUGGGGCCCGUUCCACGGGUUCCGUGUCGGAGCUAACGCGUUAAGCAUCCCGCCUGGGGAGUACGGCCGCAAGGCUAAAACUCAAAGAAAUUGACGGGGGCCCGCACAAGCGGCGGAGCAUGCGGAUUAAUUCGAUGCAACGCGAAGAACCUUACCUGGGCUUGACAUGUUCCCGACGGUCGUAGAGAUACGGCUUCCCUUCGGGGCGGGUUCACAGGUGGUGCAUGGUCGUCGUCAGCUCGUGUCGUGAGAUGUUGGGUUAAGUCCCGCAACGAGCGCAACCCU